UGUUUCUCCCCAGAGGCCUCUCAAUCCUCCCUCCAUGAUCUUCGCAUAGAGCACAGUACCCCUUCACACGGAGGACGCGAUGGCUCCCAAGAAACGCCCAGAAACCCAGAAGACCUCCGAGAUUGUAUUACGCCCCAGGAACAAGAGGAGCAGGAGUCCCCUGGAGCUGGAGCCCGAGGCCAAGAAGCUCUGUGCGAAGGGCUCCGGUCCUAGCAGAAGAUGUGACUCAGACUGCCUCUGGGUGGGGCUGGCUGGCCCACAGAUCCUGCCACCAUGCCGCAGCAUCGUCAGGACCCUCCACCAGCAUAAGCUGGGCAGAGCUUCCUGGCCAUCUGUCCAGCAGGGGCUCCAGCAGUCCUUUUUGCACACUCUGGAUUCUUACCGGAUAUUACAAAAGGCUGCCCCCUUUGACAGGAGGGCUACAUCCUUGGCGUGGCACCCAACUCACCCCAGCACCGUGGCUGUGGGUUCCAAAGGGGGAGAUAUCAUGCUCUGGAAUUUUGGCAUCAAGGACAAACCCACCUUCAUCAAAGGGGUGAGCAGUUCCCCAUGCCAGGUCGUGCUAAAGAAGUGUUUGUUGGCUGGGUGCAGUGGUUCGCGCCUGUAACCCCAGCACUUUGGGAGGCCAAGGUGGGUGGAUCACCUGAGGUAUGGAGUUUAAGACCAGCCUGGCCAACAUGGUGAAACCCCGUCUCUACUAAAAAUACAAAAAUUAGCUGGGUGUGGUGGCAGGCGCCUAUAAUCCCAGCUACUCAGGAGGCUGAGACAGGAGAAUUGCUUGAACCCGGGAGGCAGAGGUUGCAGUGAGCCAAGAUUGCACCAUUACACAA
rnacentral:sRNA from 1 species